GGCAACAUUGCCCAAAACCUCCAGUGGAAGGGCCAAAAUGGAGCUGAGCAGUGAUUAAUGUGGACUAAGUCUUGCCAUGUCACCCAAGCUGACCCUGAACUCAAGACCCUGUUCCCACCUUACAAGAGCUGGUAUCACAGGUGUACACCAAAAUGCUAAGUAACUGCCCUUGUUUGAAGACUCAGUCAUUUCUUCUCAGGUCUCUGGUUUUGGGGACAAGAAACAGAACUAAUACACCACGUCUGAUGAGGACCACUUGUACGUGUGAAGAGUUGGACUGGAUUUCUCUGAGAUCUGCAUGUUCCUUCAGUGAACAUAAUGACUUUGCAGUCCACACGUGAGCCAUGUUCUUUCCAGCAUGAAUCGUUAUUACUAUGAAUAAAACAGUAAGGCCAAAUUCACUAUCAAA